GGCCUAACUAUGCCUAUUCUUUAGCAAAGUUCAAGCUCCUACCAUAAUUUUACCCGUGUCUUAAGAAUGUGGCUUCAAUCUCUGGAUAGUGUGUGUGGGCAUGGUAGGAUAAGGCAGAGGCAGGGGGGAGUUAGUUUCCCUUGCCUCCAAGUUUAACUAUAAACUAAAUUCCUCUCAUAGUUAUCUUGGCCUCUGUGCUAGAAUAAAUAAAAAAGCAAUUUAGCCUGUGAGGUUAGAAGCAAGAUGGAGUUAGCCCUGUUAGAUUUCGCUCAUUAUUUAUAAUUCUGCAAAGGUGGUUUCACUCAGGCCCCAUCUCAGCUUCACUGCUCCACAAAAAAGUUGUUCUCUGAUAGUACUGGUUAAAAUUAAUUUUCCUCUCUUCUGCAUUUCUGAGGUAGCGGUGCUUAACUUGAUUGAGUAGCAUAACAACCUGGCAGACUUAAAUGCAGAUUCCUGGGCCCUGCCUCUGAUGAGUCUAUGUCAGCAUUUCUGAUAUUAUGGCAUUCUGACAUAGCACAGCAGUUAUGGGGUGGGGUUUCUAUAUUUCUUUUCUUUUUUUUCUUUCUCUCUCUCUUUCUUUUUUUUUUUUUUUUCUGAGACGGGGUCUGGCUCUGUUGCCCAGGCUGGAGUACAGUGGGGCAAUCUCAGCUCACUGCAACCUCUGCCUCCCAGGCUCAAGUGAUCCCUCCACCUCAGGCCUCCCGAGUAGCUGGGACCACAGGUACACGCCACCAUGCCCAGUUAAUUUUUUUUUUUUUUUGGUAGAGAUGGGGGUCUCACCUUGUGUCCAGGCUGGUCUUGAACUUCUGGGCCCAAGUGAUCGGCCCGCCCUAGCCUCCCAAAGUGUUGGGGAUUACAGGCGUGAGCCACCGUGCCUGGCUGGAAUCUGUAUUUCUUAGUACCACUUCAGAUAGCUUCAUAAGUAGUCUUUCAUAAUUUAUCAUUUAUUAGUGUUUUAUUUUUAUGUUGCUUAUUUCAUGUGUUGUGAUCUUUUCUCUCCAGUGGUUGUAAAACUGUAACCACCUAAUGGGUUCUCCUUGCCUGCUGCCCAGAUAGAGCUGACUUAUCAAGGCAGGGACAUUGCAAUGGAGUUGAAUUCAUGAGAGCUGGGAUUUCAGGGACUAGGGCUUUUCAAAGAUAGUCUGGGGGAAGUGGUGGGGGUGGCUGCUGAUUGGAUGGUGGAUGCAAUCAUAGGGUUGUUGGAAAUGAUCCUUCUGCAUGCUGAAACCCUUCUGGGUGGGGCCACAGGAGCAGUGGGCGGGUCCAGGUUGGAGCCAGAGGCGUAGAUGUCAGACAUGUAAAAACCCUGAAAAGAUAUCUCCGAAGGCCACUCUUAGAUUCUACAAUAGAUAUGUUAUUUGCAGGAGUAAUUGGGGAAGUUGUAUAUCUUGUUACCUCCAGAAUAAAGACUGGCAAUCAUUUAUGUCUACACCUUAGCAGAAUUCAGGCUCCUCCCCUCCUGCUAGCCUGGUGGCCUCUCAUUAGCUUUACAAAGGCACUUGAGUUUUGGGGAAGGGCUAUUAUCAUUUAAACCAUAAACUAAAUGUCUCCCAAAGCUAGUCUAGUAAUAAUUAAAGGCAGCUCGAUUGCUUGAAGGCUAAAGGCAGGAGGGGAGUUGGCUAGAUCAGAUCUCCCCCACUGCCAUAAUUUUCUCACUGAUACAAUUUUUGCAAAGGCAGUUUCAACCCACCCAUGUCCUACAUAGUGCCUAAUACAUUGAUGCCUAUCCAGCAGCCAUAAAAAAAAUUGAUUAGUUGAUUGACAAGAAAAUUUUCCUUUUUUCAUAACUAGAUUUUGCUCUCUUAAAGAAUAGUGGUUCUUUGCAGCGAAUAAAUAAGUAUACAAUAAUGAAUUAUGCUCUGAGCUCUUGGAUCAUCCUGGAACUCAGUCAAUGCCUAUUUAAAACUUGGCUAUUCUGGGAGGAUGAUAUAUUCUCUGCUGACUUAGAUUGUUCUUAGCAACUUUGUAUUUUAUCCUAGUGCAGAGAUUCUUUUUGGUGUCUAUGUGGGGGAGGGGGUGCAUUAGAAUCCUCAAUGAGACUUUUCAUGCUCUACAGCCCCCCUAGUCCCCAUGAGAAUCACAGCAUUGUGAUGAGAGAUGCUACUGAUUAGGAGUGUACUGGGAACAAAACAGGGUUAAAUCAGAAUAGCGGCUGUGAAUCACUGUCCUAGAGAGAGUUUGCAAAUAUGACCAUUAUGAUUAGAUAAAUGAACUAGAGGCUGAUUUUGAAUGUCCUCAGCAAAUCAUAAUUUCCAACUCUUAGUAACAGUUAUAUAUUUACAUUCUUCAUUAUAACAAUAGGAUCAUUGUUUGUAAUCACAAUAGAGAUAAGAAAAUACAUUUUAAGCCAAAAUGAUUUUUUUUCAAAUCCUUGGUUAGAUUACUUUAUGUUUUGGAAAACUUGGGUUAAGUCUCUAUAAACCAAAAAUAAAAUUCUAAGACCUCCCAGCCAUCUGAAUGAGCUUCCUCCUCGGCCAGGGUGCUCUUAAAAUUUAACCUGAGAGACUGGUUCAGGCCAUGAUGGGAAGUGGGGGUUGGACAUGCCUCAUUAUACCCUCCAGCAUUAACAUCAACACAGACCUUAAGUCUAAUAAGAAGCAUUUACAAUCUAUUCUUUCUGAAGCCUGCUACCUGAAGGCUUCAUCUGCCUAAUAAGAACUUUGGUCUCCACAGUCCAUUACCUUAACUCUGAUAUUUCCUUUCUAUAUUGAUCCCAGGUUUUUAGAUAAACUCAACCAAUUGUCAACCAGAAAAAUUUUAAAUCUACCUAUAACCUGGAAGCACCCCUACCACCCCCUAUUCCCCCUUCAAGUUGUCCCACCUUUGUGGACCAAACCAAUGUGUGUCUUAAAUGUAUUUGAUUGAAGUCUCAUGUCUCCCUAAAAUGUAUAACAUCAAGCUGCACCCCAACCACCUUGGGCACAUGUUCUCAGGAUCUCAUGUUCUCAGUAUCAUAGGCCAUGGUCACCCCUAUUUGGCUCAGAAUAAAUCUCUUCAAAUAUUUUACAGAGUUUGACUAUUUUUGUUGACAUCAUGCAAAUUUACUCUGAAGAAAACCUUGGGGGAUCAUUCUAGAUUUUUCCCUUCUCAACCACUCCUAAGAGAGAAUUAAGCCCUCCUGCCCUAAGGCAUCCAUUGUAUGUAAUAACUAACUUAUUUCCCAGUAUCUUCUAAAAUGCCAGCUUUCUACUUGGAAAAAAUGACAAGAGUCACUGAAAUAAUUUUCUCUAAAGCUCCAGUCUCUCCUGUGAUUGAGAAAGGCUAAAUUACCUAGAUUCCAGUGGUUUUCUAACACUGGUGUGCAUCAGAGUUUCUUGGACGUUUUUUAAAACAUAGAUUUCCAGGCCCUGUCCCUGUUCAGUA
rnacentral:lncRNA from 1 species